AACGAACGCUGGCGGCAGGCUUAACACAUGCAAGUCGAGCGCCCCGCAAGGGGAGCGGCAGACGGGUGAGUAACGCGUGGGAACAUACCCUUUGGUUCGGAAUAACUCAGGGAAACUUGAGCUAAUACCGGAUACGUCCGUAAGGAGAAAGAUUUAUCGCCAAAGGAUUGGCCCGCGUCCGAUUAGCUAGUUGGUGAGGUAACGGCUCACCAAGGCUACGAUCGGUAGCUGGUCUGAGAGGAUGAUCAGCACAUUGGGACUGAGACACGGCCCAAACUCCUACGGGAGGCAGCAGUGGGGAAUAUUGGACAAUGGGCGCAAGCCUGAUCCAGCCAUGCCGCGUGAGUGAUGAAGGCCUUAGGGUUGUAAAGCUCUUUUGUCCGGGAAGAUAAUGACUGUACCGGAAGAAUAAGCCCCGGCUAACUUCGUGCCAGCAGCCGCGGUAAU
rnacentral:rRNA from 1 species